UCCGUAGGUGAACCUGCGGAAGGAUCAUUAACGAGUUUGGGUCUUCCAGGCCCGACCUCCCAACCCUAUGUUUAUUGAACCUCUGUUGCUUCGGCAGGCCCGUCUCACGGCCGCCGGAGGACCGCUGAAAGGCGUCCUCUGGCCCGCGUCCGCCGAUGGCCAACCACUCAAACUCUGAAUGAAUCGUGUCAUAUGUCUGAGUCUAUGAUUAAAUUAAAGCAAAACUUUCAACAACGGAUCUCUUGGUUCUGGCAUCGAUGAAGAACGCAGCGAAAUGCGAUAAGUAAUGCGAAUUGCAGAAUUCCAGUGAGUCAUCGAAUCUUUGAACGCACAUUGCGCCCUUUGGUAUUCCGAAGGGCAUGCCUGUUCGAGCGUCAUUAUCACCCCUCAAGCCCCGCGCUUGGUGUUGGACGGCCGGUCGAGCGAUCGACCCCUCCUAAAGACAAUGACGGCGGCCUGCGGUUCCCCCGGUACACUGAGCUUUUAACUGAGCACGUACCGGACCAGGGCACCCGGGACCCGGUCCCCUCCUUUAACUAGGAAACAUCUAAGGUUGACCUCGGAUCAGGUAGGAAAACGCGCUGAACUUAAGCAUAC
rnacentral:rRNA from 1 species